rnacentral:rRNA from 1 species
UACGAAGGGGGCUAGCGUUGUUCGGAAUUACUGGGCGUAAAGCGCGCGCAGGCGGUCCUUCAAGUCAGGGGUGAAAGCCCAGGGCUCAACCCUGGAAUGGCCUUUGAGACUAGAGGACUUGGGUACGGGAGAGGUGAGUGGAAUUCCUAGUGUAGAGGUGAAAUUCGUAGAUAUUAGGCAAGAACACCAGUGGCGAAGGCGGCUCACUGGUCCGUAUCGACGCUGAGGUGCGAAAGCGUGGGGAGCAAACAGGG